GCUCCCUGCUCUGCGGCGGCCGAGGCGGCGCGGGAGCUGCGUGACGCGGUGGCGGCCCUCGCCGUGCACCGCGCCGACGACGAGGACGUGCUGCGGCGCCGCAUCAUCGCGCUGGACGCCGACGUCCGCCGCCUACAGGGCUCCCUCCCCCUCGACCCCGCCACGCUCGACAUUACUACUCCAUAUGCUAGCCGCAGCGAGGGCGCCAAGAAGGGCGGCCACGGCGGCGCGGCCGCCACCGACCCGCGCCUCCAGGGCAUUUCCGACGCCAUCCGCGUCGUCCCGCACUUCCCCAAGCAAGGUCCGUCCGCCCAUCUCUGUGCGAAAACAUUACUACUAAGCAACCAUAACCCUCCUGUCUGA
rnacentral:rRNA from 1 species